GCCAAGUAGGAGCUCCACCCCCAGGUCCUCAACACCAACUGUGGGAAAAUAUGGUUGGGAGGAUUGACAAACAGUAUUAAACACGGACAGAGCUUGAGAGCAGCUGUAAGUCUGGGCCUGGAACACUGGGGAGUAUGGGAAGGAGACAAAUGGGCCCGAAGACGCCCAGUGCCCCUCCAUAUCCCUGGAAGACAUCUGUACCUGGGAGGAGCAGGAGCCCUUGGGAGAGUCACUGCUGAACCUGUUAAAAACCCGCUCUCCAGACCGGAGCCAUUCACACAAUGAUAAAGAGGCACUGGGCACUUAGAAUAUGUCUGCAGAAUAAUAAAAGAAUGGGUGGGGCGAAGCCAGGUCUGACCUCCAUAGUGAUACGACCAUCACCUUGCAGAACAGAAGAACAAUAAGGCAUGGAACAGGAAGAAUCAAGCCAGCUGUUCUUGAAUCCAUCACUCACUUUUAAAAAUAAAUUGGACCUCCUGCCUGCAAAGCAAACUCUCUCUAAGAUACAACUGAGCCUUCAGCAGA